rnacentral:rRNA from 1 species
AUGAAAGGAUUUGACAAGGCCUGGCGAGACCAGAUUGAGUCCUUUACGCAAAAAGGGAGUGUAGGGAUUAAAGUGAAUGAUGAUAUAGGCCACUAUUUCCAGACACAUAAAGGACUAAGGCAAGGAGAUCCCAUGUUACCGAUUCUAUUUAACAUAGUGGUUGAUAUGUUAUCCAUUUUAAUAGGUCGGGCUAAGGAUGCGGGGCAGGUUUCGGGCUUGGUUCCGCACCUAGUUGUUGGUGGUAUCUCCAUUCUGCAGUAUGCCGAUGAUACAAUCAUCUUUAUGGAGCAUGACUUGGUGAAAGCAAGGAACAUGAAGCUUGUGUUGUGCUUAUUUGAACAAUUGUCUGGUCUCAAGAUUAACUUCCAUAAGAGCGAACUGUUUUGCUUUGGAAGAGCUAAUGAGGACCAGGAGGCAUAUAAGCAAUUGUUCGGAUGUGAGUUGGGUUCGCUACCGUUUACAUACCUAGGUAUACCCAUUCACCAUCGUAAGCUGACGAACAAGGAGUGGAAAUGCAUCGAGGAUCGUUUUGAAAAGAAACUGAGCUGUUGGAAAGGGAAGCUCAUGUCAUAUGGAGGUCGAUUAAUUCUGAUUAAUUCGGUCUUAACCAGUAUGCCCAUGUUUCUUUUAUCCUUUUUUGAGGUCCCGGUGGGGGUCAGGAAGAGGUUAGACUUUUAUCGAUCUCGUUUCUUUUGGCAGAAUGAUGAGUUGAAACGAAAGUAUAGGCUUGCAAAAUGGAUAUCAUCUGUAGGCCGAAGGACCAAGGCGGUCUAG